rnacentral:lncRNA from 1 species
GCUUAUAUCUGAUACAUCAUUUAUGGUUGCAUUACAUAUGUUUUUGAAAAGGAAAACCACAUGCACUAUUAUCAACUUACAUUGUAUGGCAUAAUUGCAAGUUUUACGUCGACUUCAUUAUGAAGCAAGUCGAUUAAAACUUGUGACUAUGCACAUAUUUUCAAAAGCAGUGCCGUGAGUGAUUUUGCAUUGAAAAUUUUUUCAAAUUGAGCUGAUGUGCCUAAGUCGACUACAUGCGUAGUGGAUCCGACUUAGUUAGUUGUUAUGUUUGAAAUUUUGUUAUGCUUGUGUACAGUAACGACUAUAUUUCAAAAGUUAGUUAAAUCAUUGAUGAUAGUCAACUGUAUUAAAUGCAAAAUCAAUUUGGUUGUUGUUGACUGCUAUUGUUUGACUUAACUGUUAUAACUGUCUAAGGACAGUCGACUCUAUUAGUAUCCUAGUCGACUAUAGGAGCGUUUGAUUUAUAGAAAACUAUAAAUAGACUUGCGUCAGUUCAUCACAAAAACUUUGGUUAUUCUAACACUUUCAUUUUGAUUUACAGAUCGUGAUCUCUGAGAAUUUUCUCCAAGAACUCAUGAAGAAGACCGUGGUGAUCUAUCUUUGAAGAGGUUCUUUGAAGGAGAAAGAUUUUUGUGCUUACUGGUUGAUCAUACUCUGCAUAUUGUGGUGCACAUCUGCUGAUCAAGAUUUCUCUAAAUCUUUGUAAAGAUUGUGGUUGUUAUCCUGCUAGGACUGCAAUGGGUUGACUCCUGAAGUCUAUACACUUUGAGGAUUGUUAAAAGUGGGUUGAAGAUUGCAGAAGAGGGGAUAUCUUGCUGCAGAUCUUGUUGUGUGUAUUGCCUAUAUUUUGGUUAGAGGGUUAGAGAGGUGUUUUAUACUUUUGAAGUGGAGGUCUCUAUAAAAGCCUUGUUGUAAAAACCUUGACCAUUAUAGUGCAUUUGCUUUCGGAUUGUGGAAGGACACUGGAUGUAGGCAUUGAGGCCGAACCAAUAUAAAAAUUUGCGUUUGAUUUCUCUUUCCCUACAUUUUUACAUUAAGUCGACUUUACUGCUUUCAUAGUCAACUUUGUAUUUUUCGUUGCAAAUAAAAUUUUAAUUCCUUGUGAUUCAAGAAACUUUGUAAAGGUUGAUACUUUGCAAUAAAGAUUUUAAAACAAGCCAACCUUUUU